rnacentral:rRNA from 1 species
UACGGGGGGGGCAAGCGUUGUUCGGAAUUACUGGGCGUAAAGGGCUCGUAGGCGGCCAACUAAGUCAUACGUGAAAUCCCUCGGCUUAACCGGGGAACUGCGUCUGAUACUGGAUGGCUUGAGUUCGGGAGAGGGAUGCGGAAUUCCAGGUGUAGCGGUGAAAUGCGUAGAGAUCGGGAGGAACACCCGUGGCGAAGGCGGCCAUCUGGACCAGCACUGACGCUGAGGCACGAAAGCGUGAGGAGCAAACAGG